GUCCACGCUGUAAACGAUGUCGAUUUGGAGGUUGUGCCCUUGAGGCGUGGCUUCCGGAGCUAACGCGUUAAAUCGACCGCCUGGGGAGUACGGCCGCAAGGUUAAAACUCAAAUGAAUUGACGGGGGCCCGCACAAGCGGUGGAGCAUGUGGUUUAAUUCGAUGCAACGCGAAGAACCUUACCUACUCUUGACAUCCAGAGAAUUUAGCAGAGAUGCUUUAGUGCCUUCGGGAACUCUGAGACAGGUGCUGCAUGGCUGUCGU
rnacentral:rRNA from 1 species